GAAGCGAAUUGAACGAAUACGGUUUAAAAGGCACGAUUUCAGAUCACCGCGACCGUCCUUAUAAGGUGUUUUUAGCAGGUACCAGCUGUCAUUGGCUAUUCUGGAAAAGGGGCGGGGAGAAGCAGCUCAUUUGCAUUUAAAAAGACAGGUGCGCAAAUCGGCCUUUUUUCCCGCUUCCGCUCAAAACAGGCAUUUUCCGAAUAAUAUAAUAAAUGAUCUGUGGGGUGUUUUGAGCUGAAGCUUCACAGACACAUAGACCAGAGGCGUAAUAUGUCUCCUUUAAAGGAACAGUUCAGCGGAAACGAGAUAGAUGAGUUCGUUUGGAGCGACGGAUGCUCUGCAGUGAAUGGGUGCCGCGAGGAUGAGGGUCCAAACUGUUCGUAAGUCAAAAGCUGCGGUGCAGGCAAGAAACAAAUCCAUCUUCGACACAUUUCGAAGUUGCUCUUGCCACGAAGUGCAACAUUUGCUCCGGUGAAAGUCCAGAUUUCUCUCGAUUCGGACCAGAUGCUAUUCACCGAAACGUUAUUGUAUGAUGAUGGGCAGGCGCAGUUAUUCCAUGAUGGUUAUUUCUUCCAAACACGCAGCUUUCGUACUGUCCAGACGGACUGGGGCGUCGUGGAUCAUUGUGACGCUCGUUCCCACGGCACCCAUUCGCUCUAGUGCAUCCGUCGCUCAGCGGCGCUGGGUUUCUCCAAAAUCGACGAAGACUCAAACUCGUGUAGAUCUCGGAUGGCCUGGGGGGCGAAUGAAGCUUCAUUUUAAGCGGCACUAGACGCACGCGAGCGCGAUCGAUUCAGUUGCCGGAGAAGGCCGCUCAGCGCUGUAAUGGACUCAGGGUUCGAUUGAUUGGAUCAGGAUUUCCUGAUGGUCCCGGUCUUUAAGCGUGUUUAUCUGAGGUCUUUUAACAUAUUUAAAGAUAACCUGCUAAACAUGUGAUCUCACUUUCCGGCUGUAGGAAAACCCCCGCUUCGCUUUUGUGUUGUUUGUUUACAUAUUUCUACAUAUAAAUGCAUACGUGAAUAUAUAUGCUCAUGGUAAUUUUAUUCUUGGAUAAAUGUGCUUGUGUUUUUGUUUCCACUGAUGUCUCGUGUGUUUGUUUCUAACCACAUCACGCGUCAGAUUGAAGCAGGGAGCCAAUAACAGACAGGAAGCGGUGAAAGGACACAGGAAACGGCUCGUUUUUGGUUUUCCACUGAUGUUUUUUUUUCUUGGUGGUGGAAAAAUUGUGAUUCUGGAGCACGCAUGCUCUCGCCUCAGGUCUGGUAACUGUAAAAACACUGAUUAAUAGAUGCAUACGACGUAUUUCACUGCAAAGGUUCGGAUUUUAUACUAUUUUAUUUGUAGUUAAAUAAAUAUCAAUGCAUUAAAUCGAGCUAAAUUUGUGAUGUUACGCUGGAUCGUGUGACAGUAACGGUGCCGAAACUUCAUCUUUGAUCGCAGAAAUAAAUUGCAUUUUGCAACCAAUUCACACAGAAAUCUGAUAUUUUAAAUGACAAUAAUAUUUAACAUUUUUACAGCAUUUUUGAUCAAAUAAAUGCAGCAUUUUUACAACAAGUGCUGUUUAAUAGGCAAACGUAAUGCAAAACGCUUAUGCAAAACAAAUACGACGUGCAAUGAAGUUCACCGCAGACUUUUUUUGUCUUGAAUAGAUUAUAUAAUCUCUAUUGAGUUGAUUGUGUUUUAUAGCGGCAGCUCUGUUGAGUGGGUGUCACAUUUCCUAUUGUCACUGUUGCGUGGCAACCUUUCAAAACCCAAGCUUCACCAGCAGCACCGAAGCCUCUUCAAUGGAAAAGCGAACGAACCAUCACGCAGAAAUAUGUCUGCCUCGAAAAAAGAAGGUUUGGGAGUCUUUCCACUCAAACACCUUCAGGAUCUUCGACGAGACGUUGCCGGAGCGUCUCGAACCAGUCUGGGUCUAUCAGAACCAUGGAAAACCCGCAGGAGAACCGCGAGAGCCGGAGAACCGCAACGUCCCACAUCCUCACAACGCCGGCUUCAUCAGGACUAACGUCAGGUUCCUUAAUGAGCCCAUCGCUCACAUGAAGACGGGACGCACUGACACUGAACAGCGGUCAAACGCUCCUGAAGGAGAUGGACUCGUGAAAGCAGCGUACAGUAAAGGCGAACCAAGUGCGUUUGCUGGCUCAUCUGUACGAAUCAGCUCCUUUUACAGUGACACGUGGCUUUUUAAUUGUUUGCAGUUCCCUUGAACAAUCAGAAGAACGACAGGAUUUUCCUGGAUGUGAAUGAUCAGCCCUCUUAAAAGAGAGCCGCCAUCUUUGCAAAGGAUUGUGGGAUACGUCGACAUCUUCUGUAUUGUGUUCACUCGUGCGGUCAGUUCUCCAUGUCUUUCGGUUUUAUUCAUGCCUCUAAAUAAAGAAAAAGCCGAAAGCAAACAGAUGCAGGGACCGUUUAUCUGUAGAUGCCGUAGAUUCAUAAAUCAACUGUUUUUUUUAAAGUGACAGCACUGUUACGGUUAUUCAGGCUUAGGUGUUUUACAGCUAGCAUACUCUCGAAAAUGAACGGCGGCGGAGCUUUCGGAGAUAUGAGAAAUGACUCUGUAAAGGAAUGAAUCACGUCAGAUCUACACACCCCUCUUUUCCUCCGAACUGACUCCUGGCUGGCCUCGGGCUUUGUGUCGAAGCGUUUUAUAAAGCUGCGUUCAUCCUUCGGUGCGCAUGUGCCAGACUCUUCAGCCAAAAGUGAACAUUUGCUGAAAGUGUCCUCGUCCGCGAGCCAUCCAAGAGGCAGAUGAGUUCGUUUUUGAGACGAUUUGGAGAAAUGCAGCGUUGCGCCAGUGUCUCAGCAAUGGAUGUGAAUGGGUGCCGUCGGAAUGAGCGCUGAUAAAAACAUCACGGGAAUCCACAGCGCUCCAGUCCAACCAUAAGUGCCUCAAAAAGGCCAAAGCUGCGUGUUUUGUAAGAAACACGUCUUUCGUUGAGACGCUUUUGUCUCCAAAGCAGCUAAAAUGCAAAUCUAUAGUAACAACUCCUACUCCAGUGGAAAAAAAAGUAGUCUGAUCUGAAUCAGGAGAGAAAUCUGCACAAAACAAGCAUCGUUUAUGAGCCAGAAGAGCUCUAAACCAGUGCAGCAAUGGAUGUGAAUGGGUGCCGUCGGAAUGGGCGCUGAUAAAAACAUCACAGGAAUCCACAGCGCUCCAGUCCAGCAUUAAGUGCCUUGAGAAGCCGAAAGCUGCGUGUUUUGUAAGAAACACGUCUUUCAUUAAAACACCUUUAUUUCCAAAGCGGCUAAAAUGCAAAUCUAUAGUAAUAACUCCUACUCCAGUGGAAAAAAAAGUAGUCUGAUCUGAAUCAGGAGAGAAAUCUGCACAAAACAAGCAUCGUUUAUGAGCCAGAAGAGCUCUAAACCAGUGCAGCAAUGGAUGUGAAUGGGUGCCGUCGGAAUGGGCGCUGAUAAAAACAUCACAGGAAUCCACAGCGCUCCAGUCCAGCAUUAAGUGCCUCAAAAAGGCCAAAGCUGCGUGUUUUGUAAGAAACACGUCUUUCGUUAAGACGCUUUUGUCUCCAAAGCGGCUAAAAUGCAAAUCUAACUCCUACUCCAGUAGAAAAAAAAGUAGUCUGAUCUGAAUCAGGAGAGAAAUCUGCACAAAACAAGCAUCGUUUACGAGCCAGAAGAGCUCUAAACCAGUGCAGCAAUGGAUGUGAAUGGGUGCCGUCGGAAUGGGCGCUGAUAAAAACAUCACAGAGAAAGAAACACGUCUUUCAUCAAAAAGGUUGUGGCUGGGUUUUGAUGUAAGAGACAACAGGAGUUAUUACGGCCUUGAUGCCUUUGUUUCUUGGAUUCACAAGGCAUUAAACCGACGGACCGGAGUGUGGAUUAUUGGGAUGUUUCAUCAGCACUAAUUCCGACGGCACCCAUUCACCGCAGAGACCCUGACGCAGUGAAGAAACAAACCCAUCUGCAUCUUGGAUGGCCCCGAGGAAGAGCGCAUUUUAAACUAUUCCUUUAAAGAAGGAGUUCUGAUCUCGUUUUUGGUCCGAACCCAGGCGGACGCGGCGCUCUUUGGCGUACCGUUGCUUUAAAUCUUUCCCCUGCUCUUUCUCUGUCUCGUGACGAGAGACGGGGCCCGGCACAUUCCAGAGCGCAGAGGGGUCGCGUUUGCCCUCGGCGGGGACGGCAGACCCGGUGAACUGCUCUCAGCUCAACAGAUGUGGGAGAGAAAAGAGGCCCGUCCCGGCGGAGAGAGAGACCAGCGUUCCCAGAGACCGAGGGGAAUCCCUUUCGCUCGGCCGGGACAGCAAACCCAACAUCUAAAGAUCGUAUUUCACCUCAAAAAACACUGUUCCCAUCACGCAUUCAUAGCAUACUCAUUGCAGUUACGUAAAUGUAUGUUAUAGAUAAUAUUGAUAAAUUAUGUAUAGAAUACGGCCAAGAUUAUAGUGAGCUUAACUCACUGUAUGUUCAUAAAGUUUGCACUUUUCAGAGUUUAGUAUUAUUUAUUAAAUAUUAAUAACCAUUAGUAUGUAUUCAUAUUUUGAAUGAGCUCGU